AAAAGUGAAUAUUAUGGAAACAAUUAUCUGUCUGGAGAUGUUUGUUUAUUGCUUUUUAUUUUUCUUGAGUAUACCUGUUGUGUAACUCAGAAGGCUGUAUCUUUGUUUGUGCUCUCCUCUAUCCAGAACAUCCCUUGGUUUCCUUUUUUUCUCUCAUGUUCCUUCCUGUUUCAGGUCUCGGACUUGUUUACAUGCCUGUAUGAUAUCUGAAUUAGAGUCCUU
rnacentral:lncRNA from 1 species